rnacentral:rRNA from 1 species
AACGAACGCUGGCGGCAGGCUUAACACAUGCAAGUCGAACGCACCUUUCGGGGUGAGUGGCAGACGGGUGAGUAACGCGUGGGAAUCUACCCUUCUCUACGGGAUAGCUCCGGGAAACUGGAAUUAAUACCGUAUACGUCCUGAGGGAGAAAGAUUUAUCGGGGAAGGAUGAGCCCGCGUUGGAUUAGCUAGUUGGUGGGGUAAAGGCCUACCAAGGCGACGAUCCAUAGCUGGUCUAAGAGGAUGAUCAGCCACAUUGGGACUGAGACACGGCCCAAACUCCUACGGGAGGCAGCAGUGGGGAAUAUUGGACAAUGGGCGCAAGCCUGAUACAGCCAUGCCGCGUGAGUGAUGAAGGCCCUAGGGUUGUAAAGCUCUUUCAGUGGGGACGAUAAUGACGGUACCCACAGAAGAAGCCCCGGCUAACUUCGUG